UGGGGAAUAUUGGACAAUGGGCGCAAGCCUGACCCAGCCAUGCCGCGUGAGUGAUGAAGGCCCUAGGGUUGUAAAGCUCUUUCACCGGUGAAGAUAAUGACGGUAACCGGAGAAGAAGCCCCGGCUAACUUCGUGCCAGCAGCCGCGGUAAUACGAAGGGGGCUAGCGUUGUUCGGAUUUACUGGGCGUAAAGCGCACGUAGGCGGACUUUUAAGUCAGGGGUGAAAUCCCGGGGCUCAACCCCGGAACUGCCUUUGAUACUGGAAGACUUGAGUAUGGUAGAGGUGAGUGGAAUUCCGAGUGUAGAGGUGAAAUUCGUAGAUAUUCGGAAGAACACCGGUGGCGAAGGCGGCUCACUGGACCAUUACUGACGCUGAGGUGCGAAAGCGUGGGGAGCAAACAGG
rnacentral:rRNA from 1 species